CCUACGGGGGGCAGCAGUGAGGAAUAUUGGUUAAUGGACGAGAGUCUGAACCAGCCAAGUAGCGUGAAGGAUGACUGCCCUAUGGGUUGUAAACUUCUUUUAUAUGGGAAUAAAAUGUUCCACGUGUGGGAUUUUGUAUGUACCAUAUGAAUAAGGAUCGGCUAACUCCGUGCCAGCAGCCGCGGUAAUACGGAGGAUCCGAGCGUUAUCCGGAUUUAUUGGGUUUAAAGGGAGCGUAGGUGGAUUGUUAAGUCAGUUGUGAAAGUUUGCGGCUCAACCGUAAAAUUGCAGUUGAAACUGGCAGUCUUGAGUACAGGAGAGGUGGGCGGAAUUCGUGGUGUAGCGGUGAAAUGCUUAGAUAUCACGAAGAACUCCGAUUGCGAAGGCAGUUCACUGGACUGCAACUGACACUGAGGCUCGAAAGUGUGGGUAUCAAACAGGAUUAGAUACCCGUGUAGUC
rnacentral:rRNA from 1 species